CAAAAUUCCUUCUCUUUUUCUCCCUCAUUUUUUCACAGGGCACGAUAUGUUUCAGAAGGGCUCAACUCCCCCUCCCCAACUCACGAAAUCUUUCAGGAGGCUCAAUUCCCCUUCUUCAUCAUCUUCUCUACAUAUUGUAAUGACAAGGUGAUGCACAUCCAUCGAAGAUUAAAUGCUCUAAUACCAAUGCAAAGGUUUUGAGAUUGGUGGGUUGGUAUGAUAGCACCGAUGGGUGAGUUUUCUUAACUCAUUUAUUGGCAAGACACUCUUUUAAGAGAAAACUUAUCUUUUAUAUAACAUGCUUCUUGAAUUACAUGAAGUUACAAUAAUUCAAGACCAUUUGCUCCAUUGAAUAUCAGUUGCAUUAAGUACUAUAGAGUAAUUUGUUUCAUAUUCUCUUACAACUGUUAUUGAUAUAGAUACUGGCAGGAUUCAUGUCUUAGAAGAUUUGAUUAAGUUCCUCAAGAUAUAUAUGAGAUGUUGAAGUAAGCUAGUUGUAUAUAUAUUUCAUUUGUUAUGAUAUAUGUAUUUGAAUCUGUGAUUUUUGUUACUAUAGUUUAAGAAAUACUUCUAUCAUACUCCUUCCCAUUUCCCUUUUUAUAAUGCAUGAUCUGUUCGGUGCAAAGAUGCAUGGUGAAGGAAUAUAUUUCGCUGGUGAAUAUGUAUGCAAAAGUUUCAGGAUUGUUUACUGAUAUGAUAGUAUUGAUGGGAAGCUACAAUUAUUGGAAAAACAUUUGCAGCAUUGAACACCAGUUGAAGUUACAAAGAAAUGGUAGCCUUGUGAACAAUUAACGCAAUUGGCUCAUUGACAUCUUGCUAUAUAUGUGGCUACAGGAUGGUUAACUUUGUCCGGGUUUAAUUUUAUUUUCCUAAAGUUUUAAUGGAUAUUGAGAUGGUUAACCGAUGAAGAAGAACAACUUAAAGAAACUAAUCAAACAAAAGUUUUGGAAUUCAAUUGUUGAGAUGUCAAUUAUUGCUAAUACAGAUUCUAGUAGAAUUCAUGCCUUAGAAGAUUGAUUAAGUCCCUCAAGAAACAAGAUGUUCAAGUAAGCUGCAUAGUGAUGUGAAGAGCGAGUCUGCUUCACCCGUGGGUGUAAGAGUAUCAUCAAGUGACGGCAACACAAAUUAGUGAAUCACCAAGCAAGUACUUUGGAUUUUUGUAUAUUUAUUCAUUGAGGAACUACUCUAGAUUGUCUAACAUUAAAGUUAUUAUAUACUUUAUGUGUUUGUAUAACUUUAGUUUUAUUUCAA